CUUGGUCAUUUAGAGGAAGUAAAAGUCGUAACAAGGUCUCCGUUGGUGAACCAGCGGAGGGAUCAUUACCGAGUUUACAACUCCCAAACCCAAUGUGAACGUUACCAAACUGUUGCCUCGGCGGGAUCUCUGCCCCGGGUGCGUCGCAGCCCCGGACCAAGGCGCCCGCCGGAGGACCAACCAAAACUCUUUUGUAUACCCCCUCGCGGGUUUUUAUAUCUGAGCCAUCUCGGCGCCUCUCGUAGACGUUUCGAAAAUGAAUCAAAACUUUCAACAACGGGUCUCUUGGUUCUGGCAUCGAUGAAGAACGCAGCGAAAUGCGAUAAGUAAUGUGAAUUGCAGAAUUCAGUGAAUCAUCGAAUCUUUGAACGCAUAUUGCGCCCGCCAGUAUUCUGGCGGGCAUGCCUGUCCGAGCGUCAUUUCAACCCUCGAACCCCUCCGGGGGGUCGGCGUUGGGGAUCGGCCCUUUACGGGGCCGGCCCCGAAAUACAGUGGCGGUCUCGCCGCAGCCUCUCCUGCGCAGUAGUUUGCACACUCGCAUCGGGAGCGCGGCGCGUCCAUUGCCGUAAAACACCCAACUUUCUGAAAUGUUGACCUCGGAUCAGGUAGGGAUACCCGCUGAACUUAAGCAUAUCAAUAAGCGGAGGA
rnacentral:rRNA from 1 species